rnacentral:rRNA from 1 species
GACUUGUACUGUGAAACUGCGAAUGGCUCAUUAAAUCAGUUAUGGUUUCUUUGAUGGUACCUUGCUACUUGGAUACCCGUAGUAAUUCUAGAGCUAAUACAUGCAGGAGUGCCCGACUUCGGAAGGGCUGUAUUUAUUAGAUAAGAAACCUUCUCGGGUUCGCCCGGUUGUGUGCUGAGUCAUAAUAACCGCUCGAAUCGCACGGCUCUACGCCGGCGAUGGUUCAUUCAAAUUUCUGCCCUAUCAGCUUUCGAUGGUAGGAUAGAGGCCUACCAUGGCGUUAACGGGUAACGGAGAAUUAGGGUUCGAUUCCGGAGAGGGAGCCUGAGAAAUGGCUACCACAUCCAAGGAAGGCAGCAGGCGCGUAAAUUGCCCGAAUCCUGACACAGGGAGGUAGUGACAAGAAAUAACAAUACAGGGCUACUUCUAGUCUUGUAAUUGGAAUGAGUACAACUUACAUCUCUUCACGAGGAUCAACUGGAGGGCAAGUCUGGUGCCAGCAGCCGCGGUAAUUCCAGCUCCAGAAGCGUAUAUUAAAGUUGUUGCAGUUAAAACGCUCGUAGUCGGGUUUCGGGUCGGGCCGAGCGGUCUGCCGAUGGGUAUGCACUGUUUGGCGCGGCCUUCUUUCCGGAGACCGCGGCUACUCUUAACUGAGCGGGCGUGGGAGACGGAUCGUUUACUUUGAAAAAAUCAGAGUGUUUCAAGCAGGCAGCUCGCUCUUGCAUGGUACAGCAUGGGAUGAUUGAAUAGGACUCCGGUGCUA